AUUGAACGCUGGCGGUAGGCCUAACACAUGCAAGUCGAACGCGAAAGUCCUUCGGGAUGAGUAGAGUGGCGGACGGGUGAGUAACGCGUAGGAAUCUAUCCUGUAGUGGGGGAUAACGUUUCGAAAGGAACGCUAAUACCGCAUACGCCCCAAGGGGGAAAGCGGGGGAUCUUCGGACCUCGUGCUAUAGGAGGAGCCUGCGUCGGAUUAGCUAGUUGGUGAGGUAAAGGCUCACCAAGGCGACGAUCCGUAGCUGGUCUGAGAGGAUGACCAGCCACACCGGAACUGAGACACGGUCCGGACUCCUACGGGAGGCAGCAGUGGGGAAUAUUGCGCAAUGGGCGAAAGCCUGACGCAGCCAUACCGCGUGUGUGAAGAAGGCCUUCGGGUUGUAUAGCACUUUCAGUGGGGAGGAAAAGCUGGUGGCUAAUAUCCACCGGCCGUGACGCUACCCACAGAAGAAGCACCGGCUAAUUCCGUGCCAGCCGCCGCCGUAAUAC
rnacentral:rRNA from 1 species